GGACAAUACAGACUUCCUGCCAGUGGCCAGCAGACAGAACAGUCCAUGGUGAGGGUGUGUUGGAUCCAAGCCUGCCAGUCUGCGACAUUGCAGCCAAGAAGAGCAAACAGAGAUGCAGCUGCAGUGUUGCUGAUCUGGAGUGAUG